rnacentral:lncRNA from 1 species
AUGGGCACGGAGCUCCUGACAGCAGCCCUCACCCUGCCAGGCUGCAAAACGCAACCCCGUGCCUGCAAACGGCUCUGGUGCCCUGGGGAAAAGCAUCUGCUGCUCCACAUGGGGCGGUGCCACAAUGGGGACAGGUCCCCAGACCCCUCCAUGAGUCCCCACAUCCCGCUCGGUCCCCAAGUGCCAAGUCCCCGAGCACAGAGCAGAGGCAGAAGGGCUGCAGGAGAAAGAUGGGGGCACGGGGAUGCAGCAGGACGGUCCCCGAGCCACGUGAGCACAGCACUGCAGCCCCACAGCAUCCCCUUGCCCUGUCCCACGGUGACCCACGAGUGGGGACACCCAGUGCUGCGGCCUCACUCGCACCCAGGUCUCCCUUCCCCUCCUGGAAGGAACAAAAGCGCUUUGUGGCUGCUUCGGGGACAGAGCUGGGACAGCAAACGUGGCCUGGCCACGGGGAUCUGCCAGAGCUCUGCAUCACAGCAGGGAUGGGGACAGCAACGCCACAUCCCACCCUGCACCGUGGACCCCCCCAAACCCCUCCUGCUCCCCAAAAAGCACGAGCUGACCCUCACAGCAGCCGGAUCCGCAGUGGCACGCCGAGCGAUCCCGCUGCGCCUCGGGGACGGACACAAAGAGGGGCACCGAGGGCACCCCCUGCCCCCUCCCCGCGCAGCCCCAGCCCCCCAGAGAGGGGCACGGCAGCGCUGGAGCCUCUGGGAGCCGCAGGCCGAGAAGAUGCCUGGGAUUUCUUUUUUUUUUUUUUUUUUUUUUUUUUNNNNNNNNNNGCCCCCCCCCCUGUUCCUCUUUCCCACAGCCCGGCGGCACGACAGCCACCUCCAGCCCCAGUGCCACCAGCCCAGCCCCAGUGGCCCCGCAGGUGGGGACAAGGACGGCGUCACCACGUCCCCCCCCAUGGCGUCAGGCAGCCCCAGGUGGUCCGGGGAGUGGCUGCCGGGGAGGAAGAGCUCGGGGAGGAAGAGCUCGCAGCCUCCUGCUUCCUCCCCCCCUCGGGCACCACCGGCGACACCACGGCCCCGUGACGCUCACGGGGAAGGGGACAGUGUCUGGAAGCGUGGUCCCGGCACCAGCCAGCUACGUACCCGCUCAGCCAGACGCCCCCACGGCUGCAGCAUCUGCCCCCCUCCCCGGGCACGUCUCAGAGCUGCCCCCGCCACGCACGGAUUUCCCCUGCCACGCAGCUGA